rnacentral:rRNA from 1 species
UACGUAGGGGGGCAAGCGUUGUCCGGAUUUAUUGGGCGUAAAGAGCGUGUAGGCGGCCGGACAGGUCCGUUGUGAAAACUCGAGGCUCAACCUCGAGAUGUCGAUGGAAACCGUCUGGCUAGAGUCCGGAAGAGGAGUGUGGAAUUCCUGGUGUAGCGGUGAAAUGCGCAGAUAUCAGGAAGAACACCCGUGGCUAAGGCGGCUCUCUAGUACGGUACUGACGCUGAGACGCGAAAGCGUGGGGAGCGAACAGG